GAAUGUCAAAAUGGAGAAAACCCAUUUUUUUGCCACCUAUGUUCAGGCAUUUAAAUACAUUUAGCUCUUCAGGUACCUUUAAGUCUUUAAAGGGUUAAAAUACUCUCAACAUUACCCCACAUUAACUCUAAUCAUUGCACCUGUUAAAGGUUUCUUCCUGAGGCAACUGGUUCUGGCCUUUGGGUGCUUCGUGCAGGAGUUCUCCACUUGCUCUGCUUCUGGGGAUUUAACAGCAGCUGGCUACACAGAAGGUUUUCCUGCCAUGGAGGGAAAAUCCCUUUCCAACUCCAGAUGUGAAUGAAGAAGAAGAAAAGAGUCUGCCAAGCCUUCCCACAUGUUAGUUCAGGCUAUCCAGUUGCAGCCUACAGCUUCAGAGGAAAGAGGGCAAGCCUAACAUCUUUGAGAAAUUCAGAACUUUGUGCUGUGGCUCAAGGAGUCUGACAUGAUGAUGUUUUUGUAGAAGUUGUCUGAACUGCGCAUCUCCACUGAAAUGAAUCCCAGACUCUUCAGCUGCUCUGUGGACAUGUACUGCCUGCAGGUUUACAGAAAGAAGAACAAGCAUGCCACAGCAUAUCAGAGUGAAUAUUUU